rnacentral:tRNA from 1 species
GGAAGCGUGGCAGAGCGGCUUAAUGCAACGGUCUUGAAAACCGUCGAGGGGGCGACCCCUCCGUGAGUUCAAAUCUCACCGCUUCCGCCA